rnacentral:rRNA from 1 species
AGUGAACGCUGGCGGUAGGCCUAACACAUGCAAGUCGAACGGCAGCACAGUAAGAGCUUGCUCUUACGGGUGGCGAGUGGCGGACGGGUGAGGAAUACAUCGGAAUCUACUUUUUCGUGGGGGAUAGCGUAGGGACACUUACGCUAAUACCGCAUACGACCUACGGGUGAAAGCAGGGGAUCUUCGGACCUUGCGCGAUUGAAUGAGCCGAUGUCGGAUUAGCUAGUUGGCGGGGUAAAGGCCCACCAAGGCGACGAUCCGUAGCUGGUCUGAGAGGAUGAUCAGCCACACUGGAACUGAGACACGGUCCAGACUCCUACGGGAGGCAGCAGUGGGGAAUAUUGGACAAUGGGCGCAAGCCUGAUCCAGCCAUACCGCGUGGGUGAAGAAGGCCUUCGGGUUGUAAAGCCCUUUUGUUGGGAAAGAAAAGCAGCAGGUUAAUACCCCGCUGUUCUGACGGUACCCAAAGAAUAAGCACCGGCUAACUUCGUG